rnacentral:rRNA from 1 species
UACGGAGGGUGCGAGCGUUAAUCGGAAUAACUGGGCGUAAAGGGCACGCAGGCGGGCUUUUAAGUGAGAUGUGAAAUCCCCGGGCUUAACCUGGGAAUUGCAUUUCAAACUGGGUGUCUAGAGUACUGUAGGGAGGGGUAGAAUUCCAUGUGUAGCGGUGAAAUGCGUAGAGAUGUGGAGGAAUACCGAAGGCGAAGGCAGCCCCUUGGGAAUGUACUGACGCUCAGGUGCGAAAGCGUGGGGAGCAAACAGG